rnacentral:rRNA from 1 species
UUGGAGGGCAAGUCUGGUGCCAGCAGCCGCGGUAAUUCCAGCUCCAAUAGCGUAUAUUAAAGUUGUUGCAGUUAAAAAGCUCGUAGUUGAAUUUCGGGAUCAAUGUUUCGGUCAUGCCGUUGGUAUGUACUGAUAUUAUUGAUUUCUCACCUUCUAAAGAACCGUAAUGCCAUUAAUUUGGUGUCACGGGGAAUUAGGACUGUUACCUUGAAAAAAUUAGAGUGUUUAAAGCAGGCUCACGCUUGAAUACAUUAGCAUGGAAUAAUGAAAUAGGACAUCCGAUUCUAUUUUGUUGGUUUCUAGGAUCGAUGUAAUGAUUAAUAGGGAUAGUUGGGGGCAUUAGUAUUCAAUUGUCAGAGGUGAAAUUCUUGGAUUUAUUGAAGACUAACUACUGCGAAAGCAUUUGCCAAGGAUGUUUCCAUUAAUCAAGAGCGAAAGUUAGGGGAUCGAAGACGAUCAGAUACCGUCGUAGUCUUAACCAUAAACUAUGCCGACUAGGGAUCGGAUGAUGUUAAUUUUUUAAUGACUCAUUCGGCACCUUACGGGAAACCAAAG